rnacentral:rRNA from 1 species
UACGUAGGGACCAAGCGUUGUUCGGAUUUACUGGGCGUAAAGGGCGCGUAGGCGGCAAUUCAAGUCAGCUGUGAAAUCUCCGAGCUUAACUCGGAACGGUCAGCUGAUACUGUUUUGCUAGAGUGCAGAAAGGGCAACCGGAAUUCUUGGUGUAGCGGUGAAAUGCGUAGAUACCGGAAGGAACGCCGGCGGCGAAAGCGGCGCACUGGAUCCUCACUGACGCUGAUGCGCGAAAGCCAGGGGAGCGAACGGG